CCUACGGGCGGCAGCAGUAGGGAAUAUUGCACAAUGGGGGAAACCCUGAAGCAGCAACGCCGCGUGGAGGAUGAAGGUUUUAGGAUUGUAAACUCCUUUUGUUAGAGAAGAUUAUGACGGUAUCGAACGAAUAAGCACCGGCUAACUCCGUGCCAGAAGCCGCGGUAAUACGGAGGGUGCAAGCGUUACUCGGAAUCACUGGGCGGAAAGAGGGCGUAGGCGUGGUAAUAAGUCAGAUGUGAAAUCCUGUAGCUUAACUACAGAACUGCAUUUGAAACUGUUACUCUGGAGUGUGGGAGAGGUAGGUGGAAUUCUUGGUGUAGGGGUAAAAUGCGUAGAGAUCAAGAGGAAUACUCAGUGCGAAGGCGACCUGCUGGAACAUUACUGACGCUGAGGCACGAAAGCGUGGGGAGCAAACAGGAUUAGAUACCCUAGUAGUC
rnacentral:rRNA from 1 species